UCUGGAGGAAGGGCAAUCGAUCGCCAACAGCUACGCGGUUGUGGGCGGUAGGAAAGUCCAGGCAGCUCAAGGCAGGGUGGUCGUCGUAAGGCGGCACGCGAAAGCGCUAGAAAGUGCCACAGAGACAACGACUCAUCUUGGACCUAACCGGUCUAAGAAAGAGGGUGAAAAGAGGAAAACCUCCCCGCUGCAACCUCCGAAUGGGGCGUUUGCUUGCCUACGCAAGUAGAAGGUAGCCUUGCCGAGCCCCGAAGCUUGAGGGCAUAGAUUGAUGAUUGCCAUAAACAGAACCUGGCUUACUAUCCUCCGGAGCCA
rnacentral:RNase_P_RNA from 8 species